CAAACUACCUCCUGCGCCCCCAGGCUCCCGGGGCGGCGCCGCGCACACUUUCCCCGACCCGCCCCACUCCCCCUCUCUCCCAGCUCUGGCAGACGUGCGGGAGGUCGGCCCCCACCCGCUCCGGUCACACCUCACCCGACCCGUCCCACUUCCCUCUCUCCCAGCUCGAUCCAGAUCGGGAUCGAGUGCGUCAGUAACGGCCGGCCGGGCUCCUUCUCCCUCGCCGGUGAGCUCACUUCUCCUCUAAUGUUCCUGUGCAGCGGCAUCCAUAUGAGGUCGAGGUGCUCGAAGAAACUGGUCGCCAACCCCUUCUCCUAGCGCCUCCUUCAAGAGCGGCCGCGUGACCCACCACCUCUCAUCCUACGCGGAUCUGGUUGCCACUACGACCUCUUCUCCUCCCUCUCUGAUGCGCGCGGGGAGGGGGUGAGGGCGCCGCCAGCCCCGGUCCAGAUCCACGGUGGUGGACGAUGCCACCCCUGAAGCUCCAUGGCGCAUCCGGGAUCCCGUCCCAGCAUCCCCCUGCUGUGGUCCCCUGCCCGCCAUUGACGGAUGAGCUGUGAGCACUGCAGUUCGGUGGCUGUGGCAUGCAGUUCAGUCCGGUGGCCUCCCUUUUGUCGAUGCGCUCCGAUGACCUGCGGUUCAUGUCGACCUCCUCCAUGGAUUCUCCUCUGCCUCCCUCUAGCCCUCUGUAGUACGAACGACGACACCUUGAAGUUCACGGGGACCCAUGUGAGAAGCCCUCCCUGCCGAACUCCACUUCCUCAUAUUCCGCUGAGGUCCCACCCACCCACGGCAUGCAGUACAAAUGGCGAUGCCGUGCAAAUCUGUCCAGUUCCGAAGCUUACGUUGAACGAUCGAGUGGACGCCCCUGGCCUCCUUCUUUCCUCUACGGGAGUGCGGUUCUCUUGUUCUUUAGUUGUUCCUCGCCAUUCUCUGGUUAUUCAGUAAAAUGUUUCUGCUUUCAAAAAAAUGUUUUGCUCGGUAAUACCAUGGUGAUGCUAUGUACAGGAACCUGAACUCUGAAGGAGAAGUCACAAACACUCCAGUAUACUGUGACUCGGGUGCAGCAUGUAGUACGCUCGGGCUCCUAGUCUGGGUCAGUCGCAGGGGUGCUACAGUGCAGCAGGGCACCACUGUUCACAACAAAAAUAUAUUGAGGCGGUUCUUUGUGAAAAAAAGGACUUCGUUUUUAUGGGAUGUUUCUGUGGGUUUUUCAGGCAAACUUAUAAUGAUUUUGUUUAACAGAAGUUCAUCCCACGUUGUGUUACAUUUCA